rnacentral:rRNA from 1 species
GAUGAACGCUAGCGGCAGGCUUAAUACAUGCAAGUCGAGGGGCAGCAUGAUUGUAGCAAUACAAUUGAUGGCGACCGGCAAACGGGUGCGGAACACGUAAACAACCUCCCAAUAAGUGGGGAAUAGCCCAGAGAAACUUGGAUUAAUACCCCGUAACAUAACGAUGUGGCAUCACAUUGUUAUUAUAGAUUUUUCGCUUAUUGUUGGGUGUGCGGCUGAUUAGAUAGUUGGCGGGGUAACGGCCAACCAAGUCUACGAUCAGUAGCUGAUGUGAGAGCAUGAUCAGCCACACGGGCACUGAGACACGGGCCCGACUCCUACGGGAGGCAGCAGUAAGGAAUAUUGGACAAUGGACGCAAGUCUGAUCCAGCCAUGCCGCGUGAAGGAUUAAGGUCCUCCGGAUUGUAAACUUCUUUUAUAAGGGACGAAAAAAGGCUUUUCUAAGUCGUCUGGCUGUACCUUAUGAAUAAGCACCGGCUAACUCCGUGCCAGCCGCCGCCGUAAGAC